CGGCGAAGUGAAGCGGCAAAAGCUCAAAUUUGAAAUCUAGCACUUUCAGUGUUCGAGUUGUAAUUUGAAGAAGGUAACUUUGGUUUUGGCUCUUGUCUAUGUUCCUUGGAACAGGACGUCACAGAGGGUGAGAAUCCCGUGCGAUGAGAUGCCCAAUUCCAUGUAAAGUGCUUUCGAAGAGUCGAGUUGUUUGGGAAUGCAGCUCUAAGUGGGUGGUAAAUUCCAUCUAAAGCUAAAUAUUGGCGAGAGACCGAUAGCGAACAAGUACAGUGAUGGAAAGAUGAAAAGAACUUUGAAAAGAGAGUGAAAAAGUACGUGAAAUUGUUGAAAGGGAAGGGCUUGAGAUCAGACUUGGUAUUUUGCGUUCCCUUCCUUUUUGGUUGGGUUCCUCGCAGUUUACUGGGCCAGCAUCGGUUUGGAUGGUAGGAUAAUGACAUUGGAAUGUAGCUUUACUUCGGUGAAGUGUUAUAGACUUUGUUGAUACUGCCUAUCUAGACCGAGGACUGCGUCUUUGACUAGGAUGCUGGCGUAAUGAUCUUAAGCCGCCCGUCUUGAAACACGGACCAAGGAGUCUAACGUCUAUGCAAGUGUUUGGGUGUAAAACCCGUACGCGUAAUGAAAGUGAACGUAGGUGAGAGCCUUUUAGGUGCAUCAUCGACCGAUCCUGAUGUCUUCGGAUGGAUUUGAGUAAGAGCAU
rnacentral:rRNA from 1 species